rnacentral:lncRNA from 1 species
GUUCUUGUCGUAAAGGACUAUGUUUUUUCAGUUUGAGUUCUUGUCUUAGAACGAUGGGACAGCUUGACAAAUAUGAUUAUGCAUGUUGUUUCAACUAAUUAUCCAUGAUCUCCCAAGUCCUAGCAACAUUGGGGGUGAUGGGGUCUUGUUUUGUAGAACCGAGUCGUACUAAGAUGCGAAAGAGAGACACCUUAACAAUCUUGCUUGCGUGAUGCCAAGAUGGAUUUGGCCAUAUCUACCAUGUUUUACACAUACCACUCCUGUGGUUAUCCUACUUUAUUCCUUUGAGAGUGUGGGACAAUGGUUCAGCCCCCAAAAUAACAAGACAAAAGAUUGCAAUCCAGAAUCUAUACUAAUAUAUAUCCUAU